ensembl:lncRNA
CUACAGCUUUACAAAAACAUUUACAGAGCAGAAAACAUUGGCUUCCUCUUUGGCAAUAAUCAUCUUACAAGUGAGGUGUCUUUGGGUCAUUUCCUGAAGAAUAUGUUCAGAAAAAGCAUCUCCCAUCUUAAGAUUUUGCAAUAAGCAGCAAAGACGUCUGCGGGUGAAGGAUGAGUCUCUUACACUUGUUAGGACUUUGUGUUCUUUGUGGCUCAGAGGCAGCAGCUGGACUUCAUCCUAAUGAUCCUUUGCUGGUGGUUGCCUUAGAAGGAGAGACUGUCAUUUUACCAUGUGGCACAUCUCCUAUUCAAUCCUGCUCCUCGAUUAACUGGAACAUGGGAGGGAAGUUUGAGAGGUUUGAGGUGGUGAAGGCUGGAGCGGUGACUAAAACUGUUCACAGACAUAAACUGAUGAGGAACUGCUCCCUGCAGAUUGCUGGCCUGCUGCUGAGUGACGCACAGCUUUACACUUGUGACAGUGGAAAGAUCAAUUCAAGUGUUUCACUUAAGAUUCUUCAGGUAACUGAGAAGGCUGACCCUGCAACGGGAACAAUAGAGCUCCACUGUUUCCUCAGCAGUUACAAAGGAUAUGAGGCCUGUGACAACAGCACGGGAGUACAUAUCAGGUGGAGCUCUGAGGAUGGCUCACCACUAAAUGGAGACAGAUUCAGGUUUGACUAUCCAUCUCACUGCUUCUCCAAACUGAUCAUCGCUAAAAAACCAACUGACCAUCGCAGGAAAUGGAAAUGUCAUCUCACUCACGAUCAUGUGCUCACAGUCACCAGUUACACAACAACAGUAAAAGAUGGCCUGGAGGAAGUGGUUGCUGCAGUGGGUCAGUCCGUUUCGCUGUCUUGUAACACUUCCUCUCUGGAUGUGGAAGUCAGUGUGGAGUGGACUGUGUGUGAAAACCCUCUGACUGAUCGGAACUCACCUGACUGUGGCCAAAUAAGGACAUCUCAUGAGAUGAAGGAUUCAUCACUGGUCAUUAGUAAACUGAAAGCUGUCCAUGCUGGACAGUACCAAUGCUCCGAGUCCGGGGGUCAGCACAGGGCGCUCGACAGAAUCAGGCUGCACACUCUUGAUGUGGUUGCAGCAUCUGGACCCGGAGGAGAUAAUCUCACCCUGAUGUGUGUGCUAACAUGUGCUACACAAUGUGAAAAAGAUUUCAAUUUAACGUGGUCUAAAAGGAACCACAGAGGCCAGCAGAGCGAAUUAAUAGCUGUCAACAACACCUUAGUGAGGACGUUGUUUCUCCCUGUCGGAUCAGUGGGAGAUGAAAUGAUGUGCUCUGCGUACAGAGAGGGAGCGCUGAUGGCAUCCAAGGAGUGGCAGGAGGUUAACUCUCUUCAGACUCCAGCAUGGUUAGCACUUCCAGUGGGCCUCCUGAUAUGUGCUGCAGCAGGAGGAAUCUACAUAUGCAUGAAGAGGAGGCGCAAGAAGGCUGCAGCAAAGGACUCACCAAGUAUUGGAAUGACUCAUGUCUACGAUGUGAUCCAAGACAAUGAUGAGGAACAACAGCAGUCAAGACAAAGACAAGAAGCAGGCCAAGCCACAGAUGAUUUCUAUCAUCUAUUACAGCCUGUGAACUAAAUGGAAAUAACUAGGGUUUUGUAGACCUCUGCUUGAAAUAGCAAAUCCUCUUGUAACAAGAAGAAAUAUUUGUUGACUGACAUUUACAACUUCCCUUAUUAUGAUCAACAUUUUUCAGAAAUGAUAUGACAAACAUUUCAUUCGUCCAAUUCAGAUGAUUACAUGCAAUAAUACAAGACUCCUAAGAGACAUGCUGCAUGUUACACAAACUGACUCUGUGCAACGAGGAUCUUCUUUUUCCAGAGGCGGGAUAGAACAUCUAAUAGUAAACUGUGAUGAAGAAGAGAAAAUGAUUUUAGUUCCAUGUUUCAGUCCAGUAUGAUUUCAAAGACCCGUGAUUAUGACUUUAGAUGUGUACUCACAGGUAUUCAUCUCUUCAUCCUCAUAAAGACUGCUGACGCGAUAGUUUGCAGGAUCUGGAACAUUUUAUUUACAACUUGUCAGUGAAAAUGUAAUCAAACAAAAAACAAAAAGAAUAAAACUGCAAAAUGAUCUUAGAAGUUGACAGCAGGUGUUGUUUGACUUCGAGAUGAAUGCAGACAAAAAAAAAAAGAAAAUGUAAUCAAACAGGUGCUUUGAUCGGGUGCUUUGAGCAAAAAUGAAUACUGGGACUUCUGUGAUUGAUCACAAUCAAUAAUACACAUUCACAGUUUGUGUGACUGCACCUGAGUGACAGCAAACUUGAGUUAUUAAUACAGACGGUGGUAAAUUAGUUCUGAUAACGGACAAGAAAAAAGAUCACGGUAGUGUUUCUGACUCGGACCCUUCCUGUGUGGUGUGACCAGUGCGGCGAUUUUAUCUCAACUGACUGAAGUUUCUUUGCACAGCCGAAAGACAUGGGUUCAAAUAGUGACUCAUUAUUCGCCCUGUGACAAUCUGGUACUUACAAAAAAAGUCAUUAGGCAGCCUGAGGACUGGUCUAUCUUUUGUUUCUCUUCACCAAACACUGUCAUUAACUGUGCUCUUACUUUUUUCAAUGGCUUAAGCUCAACUGUCUGUAAGGCUACACAGGGGAGUUGUUCUAUGAAGUCACCCACAAGGUCUCUGUUGAGUUUUUCUUUAGUUUGAGUUAUGCCUAUGUAAAAAUAACAUUUCCAUAAAUCAAAUGUAUUCACAAAAACAGAAUGAGACAAAGUCAACUUGAAGACAAUUAAGUGGAGUUCCCAAACUUGUCCCGGCCCUGGACACAAUCUAGACCACUGCAGCUGAGUAGACACUGCGGCUUUAAAAAUACAGAAGACCGACUUGCAAGAAUGAAUCAGCACUUACAACUACAAACCGUGGCCUCUGAAUAUGCACAGUAUCUUCUGUUCGGUGGUUUAUGUUCUAAUAAACUUCAAUCGAAGAAAAUAAUUUUCUGAAAUGUCAUUGUGAGAUGUUUUCUUCAAAUAUAAUCUCAACAUAGACUGUUUUAAUUAAACAAAAAUUGUCAUUGAACCCAAGGAUGCAUUUCCGUUUUAAUUCAAUUUUAGCAACUAUGAUUUUUC